GAUGAACGCUAGCGGCAGGCCUAACACAUGCAAGUCGAGGGAGAGGUUACCUUCGGGUAACCAAAACCGGCGCACGGGUGCGUAACGCGUAUACAAUCUGCCUUUCACAUAGGGAUAGCCCGAAGAAAUUUGGAUUAAUACCUAAUGGUAUAUAAGAGCGGCAUCGUUUUUAUAUUAAAGCUACGGUGGUGAAAGAUGAGUAUGCGUUCUAUUAGCUAGUUGGAGAGGUAACGGCUCCCCAAGGCGACGAUAGAUAGGGGUUCUGAGAGGGAUGUCCCCCACACUGGUACUGCGGUACGGACCAGACUCCUACGGGAGGCAGCAGUGAGGAAUAUUGGACAAUGGUCGGAAGACUGAUCCAGCCAUGCCGCGUGCAGGAGGAAGGUCCUAUGGAUUGUAAACUGCUGUUGGAAGGGAAGAAUAAGGAGUACGUGUACUUUGAUGACGGUACCUUACGAAUAAGCAUCGGCUAACUCCGUG
rnacentral:rRNA from 1 species